UACGAGGGGGGGCAAGCGUUUGUUCGGAAUUAUUGGGCGUAAAGGGCGCGUAGGCGGUGCGGUAAGUCACCUGUGAAAACUCUGGGCUCAACUCAGAGCCUGCAGGCGAAACUGCCGUGCUUGAGUGUGGGAGAGGUGCGUGGAAUUCCCGGUGUAGCGGUGAAAUGCGUAGAUAUCGGGGAGGAACACCUGUGGCGAAAGCGGCGCACUGGACCACAACUGACGCUGAGGCGCGAAAGCUAGGGGAGCAAACAGG
rnacentral:rRNA from 1 species